UUUGGCCUAAUUUGUAAAUUUAACACGCAGUUCCUGUUGAACUUUCCUUUAGAACAGUAUCUUUGAGCGUUUAAUUAAAUUAUUAGGUAAAAAUAAGUAGAAUAUUUUUUUCUCUUAAUAUCACUUGGACUUUGACAGAGGACAUGAGUGCUCUGUCAGACCUAAAAAACACUUUACCUUGUCAUUAACUUACCUUUGUAUUUAGGCAUAAUGAAUACCGCAAUUUGCAUUUUAAGGAAAACAUUUUAAUGUGAAUACAGUUAGUAAUAAGAUUUUUUCAGUGAAUGUCAUUGCAUCAGACUACUCAGUAAUUAAAAAUACUUAGAGACUGUAAGUUUUUGGACUAGAGCAGAAAUCUGGGGUAUAUUUUUUCCACUUUAUGUACUAUCAGUGGAUCACUUUUUUGCUUUUAGUGUCCCAGACUGAUGGCUUACGUGUUAAUGCACCAAAUGGCCUAUGACUUAUAUUUGUAUUAUCUCUCGUUUUAUACAGCCAUUGACUGGAAAUAUCCAAAGAUAAACUGUUACACUGUUUCUAACUUGAAAGUAAAGAAUAGAUCUCCUUUUGUAAAGGUCACAGAAUGUAGAAUUUUAAAAAUAUUCAUACCAAGUUAAGGAUUAUAUUUCAUUUAUUUCUGUAAAGGUAAAUGUAUGUCUGUUUUGCCCUAAACACUGUCAUACAGAUUCAGUCAUUUUUAUAUCACAAUAGUUCAGCUUUAUGUUAAAAAAUGAUAGGAAAUGUUUUCAUUUGAUGUACUUUAAAAUUUGCUUUUUGCCCAAGUUUAAUUUUGCUCAGUAAACUCAUCCUUCAUGAGACCAAGUCCUUUCUCUUUAGUUCAGAAUAGCUUGAAUUUUGAUGCAUAUCUUUGCUAUUUUCAGACCAAGUUGAAGUAGCCUUAUAUCAAAGGUAGCCUUAUGUAGAGAGCCUUAUUGGGAAGAGUUUAGAGUAUUUAAUUUCUAGUAUUUUUUUCCCCUAGAAUUCAGAAUCUUGGGUAUUUCUGGACAUAUAAGAACUUGGAGAAGAAUUCUGAAUUCUCUAUUUGGUUCUUGGUAAAAUAUGUUAAGCACAUUGAAAAUGUCUUUAGACUUUCUGACAUUUGUAUUUAUGUUAAGUAAAGUUAUACCUCAGUUUUUCUGUUGAAUUUUGUACUGUCAUAUGAUAAAGUUCGCCAAUGAAUAAACUGCUGUGUAUAUAUGUGAUAAAGACAUUUGCCUUAAAAUACAGCACUCCUGUUUUGCAAACAGUCUGCCAUCAAGUCGUCUUUCCAGUUAUUCAUAUUUCUGUGUGCCUGGUGAAUGGUGGCCUGAUCAAGUCCAUGGAAGUAAGAAAGAAGAUGAAUACUUUUUCACUGUUAAUAAUCUAAACCUGGAUUUAAAAAAUACCUUGGACACAUAAAAAUUUUAUGGACAAAAUACUGAGUGUAGUGUGAUGUUUAUUGCUAAAGAUAGCAAAUGAUUGAACAGGUAAAUUGUCUGUUAGUUUUAACCAUUAUUUUCAUCAACCCUAUUCUCAAUGAGAGUAGUGAUUCAAAGAUGUGUGAAUGUCCUUUCUACCACGUGGUCUAUACCUCUGCUGGGUAUUCAUAACUACUGCUAAGUCUCAUCGCUAACGGCCGUUGCCUGUAUCAUGGAGGGACAGAUGUACUGCCAACCAAUAGGCAGGGUAAUCUGGAUAGUAAAGUUUGUGUCAUAGUUUGGGAUUUGAGAUAAUAAUUUUAUUAUUUAGUAUCUCUUUCAGGAGUGAUGGUUUAAAUGGACGUCACUUUUAUCUUCUAAUAAAAAGGUUCUUAAAUUCAGCUCAAUUUAUGUGGCAUUAUUUUGUUUUCUACUUUAAUUUGGAAUUAGUAAAGUAUGCAAUCAUAUGGAUCAUAGCUUUUCUUAUUCAGCUCCAUGACUUACAUAUUUAUGUCAGAUCUUUAAUAGUAUCUAUAAAUGUUCAUCAACUAUUUAAUUAAUAGUUUCUUCAGUCCCUAAGGAAAUAUUUUAUUAAUAACUUUGUUAUGAUAUACAUAUGUUAUAUGUACAUCUGAAAAAAAACCUGUACAGCUUGACCAUUUGAUAGUUAAUAAAUUUUGACUUUGAGAACCACCUACAGCUGAUACUAAAUUGUUCCUAUCUGUUGCCGUUGACGUCAUUGAUUAAUUUAAUUCAUUCUUGGUAGACUUAUUUCCCUUUUGUUUUGAACCCAAACUUCACUUUGCAAUAAACUAAUGGUGGAU
ensembl:lncRNA